AAUAAGUGCAGUUUUAAACUAUUCACGUUCAACGUUUGAUUGUUCGUCUUAUUUAAAAAUUUUUAUGAUUAGUAUUUUUAUUGCUAUUAGAUGAUAAAACAUAAAUAGCACUUUAUGUGUGACUAAUUUUUUUUUAUUUUUUUCAUAAUUUUUUUUAAAUAAGACGAACGGUCAAACAUUAUUUUGAGUACCAAACGUGCAACUGUG
rnacentral:pre_miRNA from 1 species